rnacentral:lncRNA from 1 species
ACACAUCUAACCACUCUUCAGCUGAUAUCCACUUGCUGACAAAUGAAUCUCUCUGGCCCCUGGACUGUGCCCUGAAACACAGCUUAAAACAGCAGAAUGAACAGUAAUCCCAGAGAUCCUGAGAUGAGAAAAGGGUGUUUGACUUAUUCAAAGAAGACCAAGGAAGCCCAAAGACCAGAGAAGAGUGCAGGAAAGGGGCGGCGGUCUGAGAUGCAGUCAGAGCAGUGGCAAGCCCCCAGAGUCUGUGGCAAAGACUUCAGGUUUCAUCCUGAAGAGGAAGACAGGUCUUUGGAGAGUUUUGAUCAAGGAAGUGAGAUGAAAUAUCUUAGGCUUACAAAGAACUACUCUGACAUCUAAAUGGAAAAUGGACUGAUGAAGCAAAAGAAGCCACAAGGAAGCCAGUUCAGAGGCUAUUGAAAUGCUCCAGAUACUCAGAGAGUGAGAGCCUUCAGAUUUGGGUGAGUGAUGCCAUUAGAACCAAGAUUUCUUCCAUUCUUCUGCUCUAUCAUUCUCAGCACAACAUGCUUUUCUCAUUAAGCCCUAUAUUAGGUAUUGAGGGUUCAGGGAUGAACUAAGCUGAUCUGGUUCCUGCUCUCUAGGCUGUAGAAGAUGGCAAGUGCUGUGGACUUCAAAGAAAAGAUUUCUGAAGUGUCAUGUUAUGACAAUUGUGAUGCUUCAAACUAUGUUGACUAUUCAUUUACAGCAUAAAGAAGAGUGAGCCACUUUAUCACUGCAGUAAUUAUAUUUUAAAAAUAAAGAAAAUAAAACAAAUGGAGUUUCCCACCCAAUCCAUGGAGACACAGACACGAAGUCUUACUAUAGAUGUGUGGCCAAUCCUUACAUUGCUUUUAUUACAAGCCUGGAAAUGACAAUAAAAUACAUGAACUUGAGAGUAUAUA